GACAAUGGAAAAGAUAUGUGGGACGCACUCGAGGCCAAGUUUGGGGUCUCGGAUGCCGGCACUGAGCUGUACAUCAUGGAGCAAUUCUAUGAUUACAGGAUGACUGAAGAGCGCUCCGUGGUUGAGCAGGCUCACGAGAUACAGUCAUUUGCUAGAGAACUUGAGCACUUCAACUGCAUGCUACCGGACAAGUUUGUUGCCGGGGGUAUCAUCACUAAGCUUCCUCCUUCAUGGAGGAACUUUGCUACCUUACUGAAACAUAAGAGACAGGAGUUUUCCGUUCCGGAUCUCAUUGGUACUCUUGAUGUGGAAGAAAAGGUGAGAGCAAAGGACACACGUGCUCGAGGUAUUGAGGGAGGAUCUAGUGCCAAUCUGGUACAGAAGAAAAACUUCCAGUCCCACAAGUUCAAGAACAAGGGCAAGUUUGAUGGUAAAGGAAAGUUUGAUGGGAAGAACAAGGCUGUGCAGCACAUGAACUUCAAGAAGAAGAAUGACAAGAAGAAAGGUGCUUGUCACGUGUGUGGAGAUCCUGAUCAUUGGGCUCCUAGUUGCCCCAAUCGCUAU
rnacentral:rRNA from 1 species